CCAGCUUGCUGGGUGGAUUAGUGGCGAACGGGUGAGUAACACGUGAGUAACCUGCCCCUGACUCUGGGAUAAGCGUUGGAAACGACGUCUAAUACUGGAUAUGAUCACUGGCCGCAUGGUCUGGUGGUGGAAAGAUUUUUUGGUUGGGGAUGGACUCGCGGCCUAUCAGCUUGUUGGUGAGGUAAUGGCUCACCAAGGCGACGACGGGUAGCCGGCCUGAGAGGGUGACCGGCCACACUGGGACUGAGACACGGCCCAGACUCCUACGGGAGGCAGCAGUGGGGAAUAUUGCACAAUGGGCGAAAGCCUGAUGCAGCAACGCCGCGUGAGGGAUGACGGCCUUCGGGUUGUAAACCUCUUUUAGUAGGGAAGAAGCGAAAGUGACGGUACCUGCAGAAAAAGCACCGGCUAACUACGUGCCAGCAGCCGCGGUAAUACGUAGGGUGCAAGCGUUGUCCGGAAUUAUUGGGCGUAAAGAGCUCGUAGGCGGUUUGUCGCGUCUGCUGUGAAAUCCCGAGGCUCAACCUCGGGCUUGCAGUGGGUACGGGCAGACUAGAGUGCGGUAGGGGAGAUUGGAAUUCCUGGUGUAGCGGUGGAAUGCGCAGAUAUCAGGAGGAACACCGAUGGCGAAGGCAGAUCUCUGGGCCGUAACUGACGCUGAGGAGCGAAAGCAUGGGGAGCGAACAGGAUUAGAUACCCUGGUAGUCCAUGCCGUAAACGUUGGGCGCUAGAUGUAGGGACCUUUCCACGGUUUCUGUGUCGUAGCUAACGCAUUAAGCGCCCCGCCUGGGGAGUACGGCCGCAAGGCUAAAACUCAAAGGAAUUGACGGGGGCCCGCACAAGCGGCGGAGCAUGCGGAUUAAUUCGAUGCAACGCGAAGAACCUUACCAAGGCUUGACAUACACCGGAAACGGCCAGAGAUGGUCGCCCCCUUGUGGUCGGUGUACAGGUGGUGCAUGGUUGUCGUCAGCUCGUGUCGUGAGAUGUUGGGUUAAGUCCCGCAACGAGCGCAACCCUCGUUCUAUGUUGCCAGCGGGUUAUGCCGGGGACUCAUAGGAGACUGCCGGGGUCAACUCGGAGGAAGGUGGGGAUGACGUCAAAUCAUCAUGCCCCUUAUGUCUUGGGCUUCACGCAUGCUACAAUGGCCGGUACAAAGGGCUGCGAUACCGUAAGGUGGAGCGAAUCCCAAAAAGCCGGUCUCAGUUCGGAUUGAGGUCUGCAACUCGACCUCAUGAAGUCGGAGU
rnacentral:rRNA from 1 species